ACGGGGUGCAGCAGGCGCGAAAACUUCACACUGUGCGAAAGCACGAUGAGGGAAUCCCAAGUGCUUGCACGUAAGUGUAAGCUGUUUUUCUGUUUAAAAUGCAGAGAGAGUAAGGGCUGGGUAAGACGGGUGCCAGCCGCCGCGGUAAUACCUGCAGCUCAAGUGGUGACCGUUAUUAUUGGGCCUAAAACGUCCGUAGCCGGUCUUAUAAAUGCCUGGGUAAAUCGUGUAGCUUAACUAUACGAAUUCUGGGUAGACUGCAAGACUUGAGACCGGGAGAGGCUAGAGGUACUCCUGGGGUAGAGGUGAAAUUCUGUAAUCCUGGGGGGACCGCCAGUGGCGAAGGCGUCUAGCUAGAACGGGUCUGACGGUGAGGGACGAAGCCCUGGGGCGCGAACCGGAUUAGAUACCCGGGUAGUCCAGGGUGUAAACGCUGCUUGCUUGAUGUUAGUCGGGCUCCGAGCCCGAUUAGUGUCGGAGAGAAGUUGUUAAGCAAGCUGCCUGGAAGUACGUCGCAAGAC
rnacentral:rRNA from 1 species